GACGAACGCUGGCGGCGUGCUUAACACAUGCAAGUCGAACGGAAAGGCCCUGCUUUUGUGGGGUGCUCGAGUGACGAACGGGUGAGUAACACGUGAGUAACCUGCCCUUGACUUUGGGAUAACUUCAGGAAACUGGGGCUAAUACCGGAUAGGAGCUCCUGCUGCAUGGUGGGGGUUGGAAAGUUUCGGCGGUUGGGGAUGGACUCGCGGCUUAUCAGCUUGUUGGUGGGGUAGUGGCUUACCAAGGCUUUGACGGGUAGCAGGCCUGAGAGGGUGACCGGCCACAUUGGGACUGAGAUACGGCCCAGACUCCUACGGGAGGCAGCAGUGGGGAAUAUUGCACAAUGGGCGGAAGCCUGAUGCAGCAACGCCGCGUGCGGGAUGACGGCCUUCGGGUUGUAAACCGCUUUCGCCUGUGACGAAGCGUGAGUGACGGUAAUGGGUAAAGAAGCACCGGCUAACUACGUU
rnacentral:rRNA from 1 species